GACGAACGCUGGCGGCGUGCUUAACACAUGCAAGUCGAACGGAAAGGCCCCUUUGGGGGUACUCGAGUGGCGAACGGGUGAGUAACACGUGAGUAACCUGCCCUUGACUUCGGGAUAACUUCAGGAAACUGGGGCUAAUACCGGAUAGGAAUCCUUGCUGCAUGGUGGGGGUUGGAAAGCUUCGGCGGUUUUGGAUGGACUCGCGGCUUAUCAGCUUGUUGGUGGGGUAGUGGCUUACCAAGGCUUUGACGGGUAGCCGGCCUGAGAGGGCGACCGGCCACAUUGGGACUGAGAUACGGCCCAGACUCCUACGGGAGGCAGCAGUGGGGAAUAUUGCACCAUGGGCGGAAGCCUGAUGCAGCAACGCCGCGGGCGGGAUGACGGCCUUCGGGUUGUAAACCGCUUUCAGCAGGGGCGAAGCUUGUGGUGACGGUACCUGCAGAAGAAGCACCGGCUAACUACGUG
rnacentral:rRNA from 1 species